GAAAGCGGUGGGACCUAGCGCGGGCCGCGCAGGCGCACGGUGGGCAGCUGCAAUGGCGCUGUCGUGUACCUUUAACAGGUAUCUGCUCCUCAUGGCGCAGGAGCAUCUAGAGUUCCGCCUGCCGGAAAUAAAGUCUUUGCUUUCACUUUUUGGAGGUCAGUUUGCCAGCAGUCAAGAAACUUAUGGAAAGUCACCAUUUUGGAUUCUUAGCAUUCCAUCUGAAGAUAUUGCAAGAAAUUUAAUGAAACGGACAGUGUGUGCCAAGUCUAUAUUUGAACUGUGGGGUCAUGGACAAUCUCCUGAGGAGCUGUACAGUUCUCUUAAAAAUUACCCUGUGGAGAAGAUGGUUCCAUUUCUACAUUCAGACUCUACAUAUAAAAUAAAGAUUCACACUUUUAAUAAGACAUUGACACAAGAAGAGAAAAUCAAGCGAAUAGAUGCACUUGAAUUUCUGCCAUUUGAAGGAAAAGUGAAUUUAAAGAAACCACAACAUGUAUUCUCUGUUUUGGAGGAUUAUGGUUUGGACCCAAACUGCAUCCCUGAGAAUCCACAUAAUAUUUAUUUUGGUAGAUGGAUUGCAGAUGGACAGAGAGAGCUUAUUGAGUCAUACAGUGUCAAAAAAAGACACUUUAUUGGAAAUACAAGUAUGGAUGCUGGUUUGUCAUUCAUUAUGGCUAACCAUGGAAAAGUGAAAGAAAAUGAUAUUGUCUUUGAUCCAUUUGUUGGAACAGGUGGCCUCCUGAUAGCAUGUGCUCAUUUUGGUGCAUAUGUGUAUGGGACAGACAUAGACUACAACACAGUUCAUGGCUUGGGAAAGGCUACUAGGAAAAACCAGAAGUGGAGAGGACCAGAUGAAAACAUUAGGGCCAAUCUUCGUCAAUAUGGUUUAGAGAAGCAUUACCUUGAUGUCCUGGUUUCAGAUGCAUCUAAACCUUCCUGGAGGAAGGGCACAUAUUUUGAUGCAAUCAUUACUGAUCCUCCAUAUGGUAUCAGAGAAUCUACAAGAAGAACAGGUUCACAGAAGGAGAUACCAAAGGGGAUAGAAAAAUGGGAAAAAUGUCCAGAAAGCCAUAUUCCUGUUUCCUUGAGUUAUCGUCUGAGUGAUAUGUUUCUUGACCUGUUAAACUUCGCAGCUGAGACGCUCGUGUUAGGUGGAAGACUAGUCUAUUGGUUACCGGUGUAUACGCCAGAAUACACUGAAGAGAUGGUGCCUUGGCACCCUUGCCUGGAACUCAUUAGCAACUGCGAGCAGAAGCUUUCCAGUCACACAUCAAGGCGCUUGAUCACAAUGGAAAAGGUGAAGAAAUUUGAGAAUCGGGACCAGUAUUCACAUCUGCUAAGUGAUCAUUUUCUGCCAUACCAAGGUCAUAAUUCCUUCCGUGAGAAAUAUUUUAGUGGGGUAACAAAAAGAAUUGCCAAGGAAGAAAAAUCCACCCAGGAAUGAAAAUUAAGAUUUUGACAAUGAAGAAAGAAUAAGAAUUGAUUUAAAAAGACAUCUGGAUGUGAACUUUCAUGUAUGAUCCGGAAAAUAGACGGUUACCUUGGUGGUGUUCCUCAGAGGUGUCUCCUUCCUGUCUAUUCUGAUUGGCUAAGCUGAAAACCAGCGCCAUUUCAAUGGACUGCGAUGGCUGUUCAACCUCAGUGCCAGGUAAGCAGAACUGAAAAUGGAUAUAGUUGAUCUGGUCAUUAAGUAGAAUUCAAGGCCAUUCUCAAAGCUCCGACCAAUACCCUCCUUGAGGAGCCUUGUUAUGUUUUUACUGACUGCUAGGUUGUUGCUAAAGACCUAUGGUUUCAUCCGCCACUUGGAAAACUAGAGAUUUGCAGAUUGAAGACAUCCUUCCUUAGGGGCUUUAAACAGUGGAAACAAAUUGUGGCAGCUGAUAGAACUGUCGGGGUCACUCAUAUUGACAUCCAUUGUAAAGUCUCGUUCCCUAAUGAGACCAGCUAGAAUCACUUGGUUAGCUAGCACCACCCAGAUUGCCAUCAUUACUGCCUGGAUCCAUUAUUGUACUGGACAUGGCAACACAUCCACUGUUAUAGACAGGGCACAAGUAAAGUACUUGAUGUUUCUGAUGCAAAGGCUACCAUUUGGUGCUAAACUUGUGACUCCUGCCAAAAGUUGACCUUGUUGCCUCUUGGUAAGGAAGAACACACUGCAUGGGGUGUUGUCUCCACUGCUCUUGGCAGAUUGAUUACCUCAGACCUUCCUCCACCCCUCUUUAGAGCUAUUGGUUGUUCAUCAAUGCUAUUGACACUUUCUCAGGUUACAGGGUUGCUGUUCCAGUGCAAUCAUUUGACUCCAGCCACACCACUUUGGCCCUUGAAACUAAUCUGUGUCAUGUGUUUGGCUUUCUGGACCAUUUGGUAUGACAACGAUACACCUUUUAUUGCUAAAGCCACUCAAUCAUGGGCUACAAUCAAGACAUUGGACAGACUUUCCAUACUUCCUACCAUCCACAGGCAUCUGGAAUCUGUGACCUUUGGAAAUUUGCUCUACAUUUGUUCUAUAUUUUCUCUGGCAGCCCUUUACCAAACCUUCACAGAAAUGCUCAGCACAUUGCUCCAAAGUUACCUCUCAACAGGGCAUUCUUCUGUCCUUUGUGGGAUGCGUAAGUCUUUUAAUUGAUGGUUUUAACUCAGACAAUUGGUGAUUAAUAGUUUGAGUCUCAGGCUGAGAAGAUUUUCCAAAACCAGCACCCGAGAGAGUUGUAACAGUCAGUUGAAAAGGACCACUUUACCUAGUAUGCUUUAUUAUUGAUGUUGAAGCAGGCAAAUAAGUAUUCUAGCUGAUGUAUUAUCUUCAAUUUUCUUUCUCUUUACAUUUUUCUACAGAUUCCAAGAGUGUUAAUUUUUUUUUCUAUUUUAAUGUCAAUUGUUGUUCCUCUGUAUUAGUUGUGUUACUGUAUUUUUUCUGUAAUACAUGUUCUAAGGCUUGUCCAUUGGUGAUUGGUUGAUGUCUAUGGGAGUUCCAUGCAUGGAUCUAAAUAAUGACAAAGGAAUUUACAGUCUGGUUGGGGUGAUGAGACCUACACAUAAAAAGAUAGUUAACACAAGGCAGAAUGAAUUAAGUACCCAGGAGAAGCCUCAGUGGAGUUUCGAAGGAUGAGAAUUUUCUUCAGAGUAGAAUAUUUAAUAAAGAUUUCACAGAAGAUAUGGUGCUUAAGCCAGAACAUUACAAAGUUUUUAAAAACUCAGUUAAGUGGAGAGAGGAAGGAAGCACAUUUCAGAUUGGGGGUGUGUGUGAAUAGUGUGAGGAAAGUUCAGAUGUGAGAACGUGUGAGUCAAGUUCAGAAGAUGAUAGGUCCUAACUAGACUAACUAGAGGGAAGGGUUCAUGUGUAUGAUGGUGGGAGAGGACUUUGAAAAAGGUAGGCUGGGGUCAUGUUGCGAAAGACCUUGAAUGUCAGUCUAAAGAAUUUGUAUUGGACUGGGCAUGGUGGUUCAUGCCUGUAAUCCCAGCA